rnacentral:rRNA from 1 species
GAAACCGGAGCUAAUACCGGAUAAUAUUUUAACCGCAUGGUUCAAAAGUGAAAGACGGUCUUGCUGUCACUUAUAGAUGGAUCCGCGCUGCAUUAGCUAGUUGGUAAGGUAACGGCUUACCAAGGCAACGAUGCAUAGCCGACCUGAGAGGGUGAUCGGCCACACUGGAACUGAGACACGGUCCAG